rnacentral:tRNA from 1 species
AAGGGAGACCUAAUUCCGGUAGGAGACGAAAAAAAGGUAGUCCCAACCAAGAAUCAAUCCCAAAAGGUCGGAACGAGGUAUGAGGCUUUCAAACUAGGUUCUGGGUUCAUAAAAGACCUGAAUCAGGAACAAGGGCUAUUAGCUCAGGUGGUUAGAGCGCACCCCUGAUAAGGGUGAGGUCCCUGGUUCGAGUCCAGGAUGGCCCACCUGCACAGGUGGCAAAAACAAGAGAAGCUCCGAAUCAGCACCUUAUCUUAUAUACAUAUAUAAGAGAGAAUGCUGGCUCUGAGUACAGAGUCCAGAGGAACCUUGAAAACUGCAUAGAGCUAGGUGAAAAAGCCAAAAAAGAAGACCGCAA